UACGUAGGGGGCUAGCGUUGUCCGGAUUUAUUGGGCGUAAAGAGCGUGUAGGCGGCCAGGUAGGUCUGGUGUGAAAACUCGAGGCUCAACCUCGAGACGUCGGUUGAAACCGUAAGGCUAGAGUCCGGAAGAGGAGAGUGGAAUUCCCGGUGUAGCGGUGAAAUGCGCAGAUAUCGGGAAGAACACCCGUGGCGAAGGCGGCUCUCUGGGACGGUACUGACGCUGAGACGCGAAAGCGUGGGGAGCGAACAGG
rnacentral:rRNA from 1 species